GGCUGGCCCAAAGGUAAUGAAUUAUCUCAAUUGACUGUUCACAGAUUAAACUCCUUGUUCUACCCUUUCCCCGCUUCUCACCACUGAACUUGACUAGUCUUAA
ensembl:misc_RNA Y_RNA Y RNA